rnacentral:rRNA from 1 species
UAGCAGUGAGGAAUAUUGGUCAAUAGCCUAACGGCUGAACCAGCAACUUGGAGGAACAUACGGCAAUAGCUGGUUGCAUUAACAAUUAGUUAUUACAACAUCGACUAUGUCGAAUAAAGUUCUAGGUAGAAUUAUGAUAAUGACAUUUUCUAUUUAUGUGUCUUGACCAAAUCACGUGCCAGCAGUCGCGGUAAUACGUGGAAGACUAGUGUUAUUCAUCUUUAAUUGGUUUAAAGGGUACCUAGACGGUCUAUUAAGCCCCUAAAGGGUACUUACAGACUAGAGUUUGAUGAGAGGGGGGAAGUACGAGAGAGUGUAGAGAUGAAAUUCUGUCAUACCUUACUUGGAACAGGUAACGGCGAAAGCAACUCCUUAUGUAAAAACUGACGUUGAAGGACGAAGGA